rnacentral:lncRNA from 1 species
AAAAAUGCAAACUCUAUACCAAAAUGUUCAUUAGGAUGUAUACUUUAAGCAUGAAAAAUUUCAAGAGUGUUGGAUAAAAUCUCAUCAUUUCACAAUCAAAAUGGCAACCAAGGUACAAGAUAGCACAUGUACAGACAAUCCCUAGCCAAAAUUAAAAUCCAUGCAUGCACAAAUUCUGGAAAAAUCAUCAAAAAAAAGUAGAGAUCAUGAGGAAAACAAUGAAAAAAAACUCAUCUCAUUUGGACAAUCCAUCAAUGAGUUAUGGAUUU